rnacentral:rRNA from 1 species
GAUCAUGGCUCAGGAUGAACGCUGGCGGCGUGCUUAACACAUGCAAGUCGAACGAAGGUACUUAAAAUGAGAGCUUCGGCAGGAUUUUUAUUUAUCUUAGUGGCGGACGGGUGAGUAACGUGUGGGCAACCUGCCCUAUACUGGGGAAUAAUCACUGGAAACGGUGACUAAUACCGCAUGUCAUUACGGAAGGGCAUCCUUCUGUAAGUAAAAGGAGUAAUUCGGUAUAGGAUGGGCCCGCAUCUGAUUUAG